rnacentral:snRNA from 1 species
UUGAUUUUCAAGACACAUAUAAUAAAAUUGGAAUGAUACAGAGAUUAGUAUGGCCCCUGCACA